UACGUAGGGGGCUAGCGUUGUCCGGAAUCAUUGGGCGUAAAGCGCGUGUAGGCGGUCCGGUAAGUCCGCUGUGAAAGUCGAGGGCUCAACCCUCGAAUGCCGGUGGAUACUGUCGGGCUAGAGUACGGAAGAGGCGAGUGGAAUUCCUGGUGUAGCGGUGAAAUGCGCAGAUAUCAGGAGGAACACCGGUGGCGAAGGCGGGUCUCUGGGCCGUAACUGACGCUGAGGAGCGAAAGCAUGGGGAGCGAACAGG
rnacentral:rRNA from 1 species